AUUAUUUUUUUAUAGCGCAGUGUAAAAGCUGGCUAUAUGAAAACUUAGCAUUAAGUAUAAUAAUUUAUAUUUACUAUUAUGACAAUAAAAUUCUGUUGUUAUUUGAUAAUGUUAUUAUAAGUAGUAUUAAUAUAUGUGUUAAAGGAACUCGGCAAAGAACCACUCAACUGUUUAUCAAAAACAUAGCUGUGUGUAUUAAUACAUAGUAAUUUCUGCUCCAUGCUUAGUAAAUAGCCGCAGUACUCUGACUGUGCAAAGGUAGCAUAAUCAGUUGGCUUUUAAUUAAAGUCUGGUAUGAAUGAAAAUAUGGGUAGUAACUGUCUUAGCAUACUUAUUUGAAAUUACUGAGCAAGUGCAAAUACUUGUAAAUAAAAUAAUAGACGAGAAGACCCUAGAAACUUGAACUAGUUUUUGUUGGGGCGACAAAAUUACAGUUAACUAAUUUUAUAAUACAUGACGCAAAGUAGAAAGAAUAAGUUACUCUAGGGAUAACAGCAUAAUUUUUAAGUUUGUGACCUCGAUGUUGGACUAGGUACUGCACCCUUAAGACAGGGGUGUAUUAUGCUCUGUUCGAGCAGAUUUACCUACAUGAUCUGAGUUCAGACCGG
rnacentral:rRNA from 1 species